rnacentral:rRNA from 1 species
AGUGAACGCUGGCGGUAGGCCUAACACAUGCAAGUCGAACGGCAGCCCAGUAAGAGCUUGCUCUUACGGGUGGCGAGUGGCGGACGGGUGAGGCAUACAUCGGAAUCUACUUUUUCGUGGGGGAUAAAGUAGGGAAACUUACGCUAAUACCGCAUACGACCUACGGGUGAAAGCAGGGGAUCUUCGGACCUUGCGCGAUUGAAUGAGCCGAUGUCGGAUUAGCUAGUUGGCGGGGUAAAGGGCCACCAAGGAGCCUAACCGUAGCUGGUCUGAGGGGAUGAUCAGCCACACUGGCUCUGAGACACGGUCCACACUCCUGCAGGGGGCAGCAGUGGGGACUAUUGCACGAUGGGCGCAUGCCUGAUCCAGCCAUACCGCGUGGGUGAUGAUGGCCCUCUGGUUGUUGAGCCCUUUUGUUGUUAAAGUAAAGCAGCAGGUUUGUACCCCGCUGUUCUGACGGUACCCAAAGAAUAAGCACCGGCUAACUUCGUG